rnacentral:rRNA from 1 species
CAUGGUUAAGUGGGAAACGAUGUGGGAAGGCCCAGACAGCCAGGAUGUUGGCUUAGAAGCAGCCAUCAUUUAAAGAAAGCGUAAUAGCUCACUGGUCGAGUCGGCCUGCGCGGAAGAUGUAACGGGGCUAAACCAUGCACCGAAGCUGCGGCAGCGACGCUUAUGCGUUGUUGGGUAGGGGAGCGUUCUGUAAGCCUGUGAAGGUGUGCUGUGAGGUAUGCUGGAGGUAUCAGAAGUGCGAAUGCUGACAUAAGUAACGAUAAAGCGGGUGAAAAGCCCGCUCGCCGGAAGACCAAGGGUUCCUGUCCAACGUUAAUCGGGGCAGGGUGAGUCGACCCCUAAGGCGAGGCCGAAAGGCGUAGUCGAUGGGAAACAGGUUAAUAUUCCUGUACUUGGUGUUACUGCGAAGGGGGGACGGAGAAGGCUAUGUUGGCCGGGCGACGGUUGUCCCGGUUUAAGCGUGUAGGCUGGUUUUCCAGGCAAAUCCGGAAAAUCAAGGCCGAGGCGUGAUGACGAGGCACUACGGUGCUGAAGCAACAAAUGCCCUGCUUCCAGGAAAAGCCUCUAAGCAUCAGGUAACAUCAAAUCGUACCCCAAACCGACACAGGUGGUCAGGUAGAGAAUACCAAGGCGCUUGAGAGAACUCGGGUGAAGGAACUAGGCAAAAUGGUGCCGUAACUUCGGGAGAAGGCACGCUGAUACGUAGGUGAAGCGACUUGCUCGUGGAGCUGAAAUCAGUCGAAGAUACCAGCUGGCUGCAACUGUUUAUUAAAAACACAGCACUGUGCAAACACGAAAGUGGACGUAUACGGUGUGACGCCUGCCCGGUGCCGGAAGGUUAAUUGAUGGGGUUAGCGCAAGCGAAGCUCUUGAUCGAAGCCCCGGUAAACGGCGGCCGUAACUAUAACGGUCCUAAGGUAGCGAAAUUCCUUGUCGGGUAAGUUCCGACCUGCACGAAUGGCGUAAUGAUGGCCAGGCUGUCUCCACCCGAGACUCAGUGAAAUUGAACUCGCUGUGAAGAUGCAGUGUACCCGCGGCAAGACGGAAAGACCCCGUGAACCUUUACUAUAGCUUGACACUGAACAUUGAGCCUUGAUGUGUAGGAUAGGUGGGAGGCUUUGAAGUGUGGACGCCAGUCUGCAUGGAGCCGACCUUGAAAUACCACCCUUUAAUGUUUGAUGUUCUAACGUGGACCCGUGAUCCGGGUUGCGGACAGUGUCUGGUGGGUAGUUUGACUGGGGCGGUCUCCUCCUAAAGAGUAACGGAGGAGCACGAAGGUUGGCUAAUCCUGGUCGGACAUCAGGAGGUUAGUGCAAUGGCAUAAGCCAGCUUGACUGCGAGCGUGACGGCGCGAGCAGGUGCGAAAGCAGGUCAUAGUGAUCCGGUGGUUCUGAAUGGAAGGGCCAUCGCUCAACGGAUAAAAGGUACUCCGGGGAUAACAGGCUGAUACCGCCCAAGAGUUCAUAUCGACGGCGGUGUUUGGCACCUCGAUGUCGGCUCAUCACAUCCUGGGGCUGAAGUAGGUCCCAAGGGUAUGGCUGUUCGCCAUUUAAAGUGGUACGCGAGCUGGGUUUAGAACGUCGUGAGACAGUUCGGUCCCUAUCUGCCGUGGGCGCUGGAGAACUGAGGGGGGCUGCUCCUAGUACGAGAGGACCGGAGUGGACGCAUCACUGGUGUUCGGGUUGUCAUGCCAAUGGCACUGCCCGGUAGCUAAAUGCGGAAGAGAUAAGUGCUGAAAGCAUCUAAGCACGAAACUUGCCCCGAGAUGAGUUCUCC